AGAGUUUGAUCAUGGCUCAGAUUGAACGCUGGCGGCAGGCCUAACACAUGCAAGUCGAGCGGUAACACAGGGAGCUUGCUCCUGGGUGACGAGCGGCGGACGGGUGAGUAAUGUAUGGGGAUCUGCCUGAUGGCGGGGGAUAACUACUGGAAACGGUAGCUAAUACCGCAUAAUGUCUACGGACCAAAGAGGGGGACCUUCGGGCCUCUUGCCAUCGGAUGUGCCCAGAUGGGAUUAGCUAGUAGGUGGGGUAACGGCUCACCUAGGCGACGAUCCCUAGCUGGUCUGAGAGGAUGACCAGCCACACUGGAACUGAGACACGGUCCAGAUUCCUACGGGAGGCAGCAGUGGGGAAUAUUGCACAAUGGGCGCAAGCCUGAUGCAGCCAUGCCGCGUGUAUGAAGAAGGCCUUCGGGUUGUAAAGUACUUUCAGCGAGGAGGAAGGCAUUAAGGUUAAUAACCUUAGUGAUUGACGUUACUCGCAGAAGAAGCACCGGCUAACUCCGUGCCAGCCGCCGCGGUAAUAC
rnacentral:rRNA from 1 species